rnacentral:siRNA from 1 species
UCACAUUCAUGGUGUUUGGGAU